GUCCUUUUAGUCUAAACGUAAUAUUAUGCCUUGGAGCAUAUGAUGGGGGUCAAAUCGCAGUUAUGAACUGCAUUGCACGUGCAUGAAGGCGAAUGCUUUUUCUGGAUGCCAUUGCCAUCUGAUCGAUGGUUUCGCCGCGGUCGUCGGGAGAAAUAUCAUCGACGGUAGGGGAAAAGCGGGUAGGCUGAGGCGGGCACCCACACCAAGCGGCCGACCCACGAAGGCGGCCAUGCAGCUCCGCCUCGUGCCUCUCUCCCCAUCUCUAUGUUCGUGUCAAACCCAGCGCAAGGUAGAGGCAGAAGAGGAGGCCGGGAAGAGAAGCUGCAAGAGAAAGUUGUUGAAGUGGAAGAAGGUGAACCUGUAGAGAGCUGAAAAAAGGACGUGGUAGAGACAAGGAAGCAAAGCCUAAACAGUAUAAUGAUUACUACCUCGCCCAGCCGCGCAUCCAAGACGCGGCGCUUGCUGGAAAGCUGGUCAAGUAGGUCCUCGACUGCGAGAUUUAGCUGAUUGAUCC